UCUGAUGGGGCCUUGGAGAACCUUUAUGUCUAGCUCAGGGAUUGUAAAUACACCAAUCGACACUCUGUAUCUUGCUCAAGGUUUGUAAACACACCAAUCAGCACCCUGUAUUUACCUCAAGGUUUGUGAGUGCACCAAUGGACACUGUAUCUAGCUGCUCUGGUGGGGCCUUGGAGAACCUUUGUGUCCACACUCUGUAUCUAACUAAUCUGAUGGGGUCGUGGAGAACCUUUGUAUCUAGCUCAGGCAUUGUAAACACACCAGUCAGCACCCUGUCAAAACAGACCACUGGGCUCUAUCAAUCAGCAGGAUGUGGGUGGGGCCAGAUAAGAGAAUAAAAGCAGGCUGCCCCAGCCAGCAGUGGCAACCCACUCGUGUCCCCUUCCACACUGUGGAAGCUUUGUUCUUUCACUCUUUGCAAUAAAUCUUGCUGCUGCUCACUCUUUGGGUCCACACUGCUUUUAUGAGCUGUAACACUCACCGCCAAAGUCUGCAGCUUCACUCCUGAAGCCAACGAGACCACAAGCCCACCGGGAGGGGAGGAACGAACAACUCCAGAUGCGCCGCCUUAAGAGCUAUAACACUCACUACGAAGGUCUGCAGUUUCACUCCUGAGCCAGCAAGACCACGAACCCACUAGAAGGAAGAAACUCUGAACACAUCCGAACGUCAGAAGGAACAAACUCCAGACGCGCCACCUUAAGAACUGUAACACUCACUGCGACGGUCCGUGGCAUCAUUCUUGAAGCUAGUGAGACCAAGAACCCACCAAUUCCGGACACAUUUUGGCGACCACGAAGGGACUUUCACCUAUCGCCAAGCAGUGAGACAAUCGCCGAGUGGUGAGACCGUCGCCUAUCGCCGAGUAGUGAGACAAUCGCCAAUCGCCAAGCAAUGAGACCAGGAUAACUCAUCUGUGGUAUGUGUUACAAGAGUAGUGUCUAGCGUCAUACUUGAAAGUGGAGAGAUGGUGACCAUGGGGACAGAAAAGUUCUGGGAAGCAGACAUGGACUACUGGAUUUCCAUGAAAACAAAAGUCACAUCCAGAAUACAUUAAAUUCUAAAACAUACAUGCUCAAUCAACAUGCGAAGAUACUGAAAGGACUUUGGGCUUAUUAAUUUUAUGUUAUUCAUCCCUAGCUGUUCAAAAGUACUCAUUAAGAUUGUUCUGGUAUGUAGAAUGUAAAUAAAAUUUAUAGCUUUAUUUCAUAUAUUUGAAGCGCUAGCAUAAUACCUGGAAUUAUGACACCUCUCCCUAUAUGCUUUUAAAAAUAAAAAUAUAAAUUAGAAAUAUACUAUUUAAAAUAAAAAUGUAUACUGUUAAUAUAUGUUGUUCAAAGUUGUUGACUUUUACAACAUUAUAAAGCUAUAUUCACGAUGAAAUCUUAAGAAAAUGAGAAGCACUGAAUAGAUAGAUUUUUUGUUGUUUGUUGCUUUUAUGCUUUUGGUUUUCUUUUGCUUAUCUGAGGACACUAGUAACUAAGAUUUUGGAAAUUUUUUUCCUAAAAUAAUUUUUAAACAUUUCUUAAUAAAAGGAUAUGGGACAUAAUUUGAGCUUCUCAUAAUGACUAAUCUUUACUUGGCAGAACUCAUCGUACACAUUUCUGUGAUACAACAAUGCUCUCAGGCCUUCUGAGCUCUGCUGAGUUGGUGAUUAAAACACACCUGGUUGCUGUCUUAUUUUAGUCUUCAUAUCUCACCUGUGGCCUGCCUUCUUCCCUGCUGUCAAUCAAUUGCAUGUUUCUCUGAAGCCUGUGUUCUUGUCUCCAACAGAAAUUCCCAGGAUCUGCUAUUCUCUAAGGUAUUGGCUGAGUAAAGAUGAAGAUGAAAUAAGCAAUGAUCUCUAAUAUGAAGAACUCACAAACACCAGGAGGAAGAGCCAAAUGUGAAGUACGAAGUCGAACAAAGACCCAGAGGAAGAAGGUGAAUGGAGGAUGCUGAGGUCUCAGCAUUGAGAGGACCAGGCAGUCACUGAAGUGCAUACAAAUGGGCCCUACAGAAUCUGCCUUUUGCUGCUGCUGAAAAGCAAGGUUAAUGGAAUUUCCGCAGGAACAUGAGCGUUAAUAUGAUUUCCCCAUUUGUUCCCUCUCCUCUUUACGCAUACAUAGCAAAUUAAUUAAAUACUUCUGCAGCAUGGCUAAAUCCUUGUUAUUGUCAUGAUAAAAAAUUAAGCAUAAUAAUUUUAGUGCUAAUUAUGUAUUUUUGGCAUAAUGUUUCAUUCCAACUGAAAUACCCUUAAGCACAGGAGAAUGGCCAUUUAGUGAAAGUGAAACAUAAAAGAGAACGCUUUUAGAGUCUUGGAUUAUUUUUCAAUUAUAAAUAGCCCAUAAAGUGACUAUUUGUAGCACUUAAUAUUUAUAUAUAAUCACACUUCAUAAUGAAAGUAGAAAAUAACAAAUGACAGAAAUAUUUUUAUGAUUUUUGUGAUCCGGAGUCUUAAAGCUCUGAAAAGACCUUAGUUUAAAAUUAUUAGUUACUACUUCCAUGUAAUAAGCACCAAUUGUAUACCAGAUCUCUUAAUUUUUCCAACAAUUCCUAGCUAUAUGCAACAUCAUUUCCAUUUUGCAAAAAAGGUUAGCAUGCUUAAUAAAGUUAAAGAACUUUAUCAAAAAGCUUCUAGAGAAUGGAGCAGUUUGCUAAGAUUGCCUGUAACAAAAUACCACAAACAGACCAGCUUAAAGCAACAGGAAUUUAUUGUCUCACAGUUUUGAGGGCCAGGAGUCUGAAAUCAAAAUGUCAGGAGGAUCACGUUCCCUCCAAACCCUGCCUGUGGAGGACCCUUCUUGUCUCUCCACACCUUCUGGAGGUUGUUGGGAAUCUCUGGUGCUCCUUGGCUGGAAGAAUCAUCAGUCUCCUCCAUCUUUACAUGGCCUCUUCCUCAUGUGCCUCUCUGUCUAUGUGUCAAGUUUCCCCUUUUUAUAAGGACACUGGUCAUGUUGAAUUAGGACCCACUCCAAUUACCUCAUUUUAACUUGAUUAAUUCUAAAGUGAUCUUUUUUUUUUUUUUUUUUUUUUCUCUGAGACGGGGUCUUGCUCUGUUACCCAGGCUGGAGUGCAGUGGCGUGAUCUCAGCUCACUGCAACCUCUGACUCCUGGGUUAAAGCGAUUCUCCUGUCUUAGCCUCUUGAGUAGCUGGGAAUACAGGCGCCAGCAUGCCUGGCUAAUUUUUGUAUUAUUAGUAGAGACAGGAUUUCACCAUGUUGGCCAGGCUGGUCUCAAACUCCUGAACUCAAGUAAUCCACGCAUCUCAGCCUCCCAAAGUGCUGGGCUUAAAAGUGUGAGCCACCACACCCACCCUGAAAUGAUCUGUUUCUAAAUAAGGUCACAUUCUGAGUUAUUGGGAUUUAGGAAUUUGAUGUGUGCGUUUUUUUGGAGGGGGGCACAACUUAACCCAUAACAGGAAACAAGAAGCAAAUAUGUAUUUGAACCUGGUCUUUCAACUUCAAAACCUACAUUUUACUCUGCUGCCCAUGUGUUGCCUUUGUAAUCAAAACUAAAACCUUUCCAUUUAACAUUUGAAAUUGUUACCUGCCUGUUCACAUGGCUAUCUUUCCUCCCCAGGCUCUAAGCUAUUUUAGGGCAGACAUAUCAUCAUAUUUCUGAUGUUACCCCCACCUUAAUAGAUAAGUGUCUAGGACACAAUUCCUUAGUAAAUCUUCAUCAUGCUGAAGAGAAAUGACUCUGUAAAAGGAAUGUGGAUGGUUAUAGUGGUUUAAAUAUUGAGACUACAUAUUAUA
rnacentral:lncRNA from 1 species